AUGAUGGACUAUAGGACAGGACUGCUGCUUUUAACUGUCUGCUGGGCAGGUGUUGAUGGUCAGACUCUGACAGAAUCUGAACCAGUGGUUAAAAGGCCUGGAGAAUCCCACAGAUUGACCUGUACAGCCUCUGGAUUCACAUUCAGCAGCUACAGCAUGGGCUGGGUCAGGCAGGCUCCUGGAAAAGGACUGGAGUGGAUUGCCUGGAUAUAUCGUGAUGGUAGUAGCUACAUCUACUACUCUCAGUCAGUUCAAGGCCGGUUUACCAUCUCCAGAGACAACAGCAGACAGCAGGUGUAUCUGCAGAUGAACAGUCUGAAGACUGAAGAUUCUGCUGUUUAUUAUUGUGCUCGAGACUCACAGGGACUGGAGUUGGUUAAACAGCUGUACAAAAACCGACAGGACUCAUCUUUAGCACAAUCAAGUCACAUGAAUAAUGUCAUUCAUGUAAAAUGAUACAAGUUAAACUGAACAAAAUGUGACAACUAAUGUUUGAUUAGGAAAAUAUUUCUUAACAGGGAUAUGAAUGUUGACAUGUAUAUUACUAAGCCGUAUUGUGCUUAAUCCAUAACAUUAAAAAGACUCCUCAGAGAAGACAGUGGCUGAACACUAAAUUGAAUCUGUGUAGUUCUAUGGUUUUACUAAGUGUCUAACUUGUGAUUUACAAGUCUUUUUACUUUUUAUUUGCAGGAGUUUGGAAUGGAGUUAAAAUUGUAAAAUGCAUAAAGUCCUGCAGAGACUGUGGAU